GACAGAGUGAGGGAGGGAAGGGGUGACUAGUGACAGAGUGAGGGAGGUGGUGAUUAGUGACAGAGGGAAGGAUGGGGUGACUAGUGACAGUCACCACCUCCUUCACUCUGUCACUAGUCACCCCCUCCCUCACUCUGUCACU